rnacentral:rRNA from 1 species
UACGUAGGGUGCGAGCGUUGUCCGGAAUUAUUGGGCGUAAAGGAGCUUGUAGGCGGUUUGUCGCGUCUGCCGUGAAAAUCCGGGGCUCAACCCCGGACUUGCGGUGGGUACGGGCAGACUAGAGUGUGGUAGGGGAGACUGGAAUUCCUGGUGUAGCGGUGAAAUGCGCAGAUAUCAGGAGGAACACCGAUGGCGAAGGCAGGUCUCUGGGCCACUACUGACGCUGAGAAGCGAAAGCAUGGGGAGCGAACAGG